rnacentral:misc_RNA from 2 species
GUACCCUCAAGCUUUGCUUGGUGUUGGGCGUUUUUGUCCCCCUAACAAGGGACUCGCCUUAAAAGGAUUGGCAGCCGGCCUACUGGUUUCGCAGCGCAGCACAUUUUUGCGCUUGCAAUCAGCAAAAGAGGACGGCAAUCCAUCAAGACUCCUUCUCAC